CAGCCGCCGCGGUAAAACCAGCACCUCAAGUGGUCAGGAUGAUUAUUGGGCCUAAAGCAUCCGUAGCCGGCUCUGCAAGUUUUCGGUUAAGUCUGUACGCUCAACGUACAGGCUGCCGGGAAUACUGCAGAGCUAGGGAGUGGGAGAGGUAGACGGUACUCAGUAGGAAGGGGUAAAAUCCUUUGAUCUAUUGAUGACCACCUGUGGCGAAGGCGGUCUACCAGAACACGUCCGACGGUGAGGGAUGAAAGCUGGGGGAGCAAACCGGAUUAGAUACCCGGGUAGUCCCAGCUGUAAACUAUGCAAACUCAGUGAUGCAUUGGCUUGUGGCCAAUGCAGUGCUGCAGGGAAGCCGUUAAGUUUGCCACCUGGGAAGUACGUACGCAAGUAUGAAACUUAAAGGAAUUGGCGGGGGAGCAC
rnacentral:rRNA from 2 species